GGGACUUUUGGCAGGUAGUUAGGUCAUAGGUGUGCAAUACUGGAUUAUGGAAAUGAUAGUUGGAUUAGUCCACUGAUUGGUUUAGCAUGAUUUUGGGUGUGGAUAAUGGGAAGACCCACCCUAGGUGUGGGUGGCACCAACCAAUAGGCUUGUAGCCUGGGUAAAAUAAAAAGGGAAAGGGAGACUCACUGCUGGCUGCUUUCUACCUGCCGUGCUGUGGACCAUUUCUCCUCUGCCAUGUCCUUCUGCCAAGUUGCCCUGCCUUGCAACCAGUCUUGGACUAAACCUGCUACAAACUAUCCAUCACAGACCAGGCACUGAAUUUCUUUGCAAUAACACAGAGGAAAACACCCUUCCUGCUUUGAAUCGGCCUGAAAUCCACCCAUCCUGGAGCCGCUCUCACCUGUGGAGAUCCGACCUGGCUGGCCCCAUGUUCUUAAGAAGUUGAGGCGAGAGAGAAAGGGACUCCGUUUCUGUCUGGGAAGACUAGGCUUGAGUGAUUUUCAGACCUUCAGUGAGACAUCUCUGGGUGUGUCUGUGAAGGUGUGUCCAGAGGAGAUUAGCAUUUGAAUCACAGUGCUGAGAAAAGAAGACCUGCCUCACCGAUUUUUUUCCUCCCCACCUCAUCUCAUGCUUGGACCAGAGAGUGUCCCCCAAGCCUCCCCAGCUCUGACACCCAUGGGAGCAGCAGAAGAGGACUUACACACGUGUAUUCUCACCUCCAGCUCCAGCAAGGGGAGCUGAAGAGGAAAGCUCUGGGGAGGGUGAAGAGAGCAGUCAGCAUGCACCGCACAGUCAAGUCUAGCUUACCUUCCCAUGAGGGCACCUGCAUCUGUGUUGUGCUCACGCUUUCCUAACUGCUGGGGAAAGAAUCAGGUAACACUAACCACUUCCCUUGGUAGAGGUCCACAGAAAAUGCUCACAAAUAUGAUAUAGACUAUUUUGCAUGAUAUUACCUAUAAAAUUUUCUAGUUCAUAUAGGACAAGUAGUGUCCUUUUACAACUAACAUUUACCAUUCAUGGAGCUACUUGGUGCCAGCAUUUGGUGGGUGCCUGGGGGCUUUCUCUUUACAUCUCACCAUAGCUCAUUAGGGCAGUUGUUAUCUUUGAUUAAAGAGAAAGACUAGGAGAUCGACUGGAGAGAAUUCACCCUACAAGUGACUUAUUAAGGCCACAAACUGUCUUUCUGUACCAAAUGGCAUCUAAGAAAGGAGAAAAUAAUACUCCUUGAUAUGUCAUUUGUUUUGCUUUUACACCCUGCCACACCCUUGCCACUGCUAUCAGUGUGUUUACUUUGGACACUGCAAUCAGCGAUGUUGGCUCUGAGAUCUGAGAUUUCCACUGGGAAUCACUUUGUGUCAAGCUGGCUGAAGAAACCAAAUCCUUUGAGUCCUCCUUAAUUGCUGGCUCAUGCUGUUAGCUCAUUGGAUGUUUUAUGUGGAGUCUGUUAAGGAAAACUGCUCUUCUAUCUUUCUCCUGAGCCCAAGGAUUCUUUCAUGCAUUGUGACACAAUUUAUAGGGCAUCUCCCAAGGACUGUGGGUAACAUAUAGUAUAGCUAUUUCGUUCAAGGAAAUUCUGGAGUGGAAAUGUUCCACUCUAUCAAGAGAUUUGUUUUCAUUAACAAGCUGUCUUCCAAGCAGUCAGAUCUUUAGGGAAUCUCAUGGGGGCCUACAUGUUUAGCCCUUGGGGAAUUCUCUAGUGCCAGCCAGGGCCUGCAUGAGGCAGGUUCCCACUUAGGAUGCUGUCUUGGGUUACUCCAGUAUGGAGUGGAGUGAAAAUCCCUAGCAACCUUCUUCUGCUUCUGAUGUCUUAGUUGAACCAAGACAAACUCUGCAAGAGUAACUGCCCUGCUGGUGUGAAAAACUAAAAGUGUAAAUAAGGAUCAAAAUGUAUAAUUGAUAUUGUGAAAUAGGAAGAAAAGGUCUAAAGGAGUAGGGGAAAGGAAAGAAGGGAAAAGAAAAAAUAUGAGAAAAGGAAAAAAAUGGGAACAAAGUCUUUGUAAAUAGGGAGGGGUGGAGGGGGUGAAAGGAGGCCAGGGAAUGGGGAAAAAAUAAGAACCAAGAUAUAUCAUGUAAAGGUACAAGAUCCCAAUGAUGAAUGUAACUGUAUUAUAUACCUAAAAUGUACCAAUAAACUUAAUUAAAAAAAUAAAGAUUAUAAUAGUAAAAAAAAAAAAAAAAAGGAGUAACUGCCCCGUAACACCCUCUAUUGAAAAUGGAGCAAACCCAAGCCAAGUGUGAUGUGUGGUUCAACAUAAAUGAUCAAUUACCAGAAGCCUAUCUCUACCCAGCUUUUUUUUUUUUUUUGGUACCGGGGAUUGAACUCGGGUCUUUGUGCUUGCGAGGCAGGUAGUGGAACCACUGAGCUAAAUCCCUGGCACUACCCAGCUUUUUGUUUUGUUUUUUGUUAUUUGUUUUGGUACCGGGGAUUGAACUCCCGGUCUUUGUGCUUUCGAGGCAGGUGGUGGAACCAUGGAGCUAAAUCCCCAGCCCCGUUUUGUUUUUUAGAGACAGGGUCUUACCAUGUAGUUCAGGCUGGCCUUGAACUCACUAUGUAGCCCAAGCUGGCCUGGAACUUGCAGCGAUCCUCCUGUCUCAGCCUCUCAGGUGCUGGGACAUGCACUACCAUGCCUAGGUUUAAGCAGCCUUUUUUAUACAUCUCUUUCUUUUUAGUAAGUCUUACAGAGUUUUACUCAAUAUUGUUUUAUUUUGUUUUUUGGUCUCAUCUGUGUGUGUUGGGGGGGUGUUUUGGUUUUGGUUUCAGUUUUUGAGACAGGGUCUCACUAUGUAGUUCAGGCUGGCUUUGAACUCAGUAUGUAGGCCUCUAGCUCACAACAAUCCCCCCUGCUUCAGUCUCCAGAGUGCUAGUAAAGCAGAAUGUAAAAGAAAAUCAGUUCCCCUAGCUGAAAGCAGUCUUAGCUGCUCCCCACUCAGGUUCCACUCCCCUCUUUCCCUUAACUACUGACCCCUGGUGUUGAUAAGGUAGGCAGUCAUAUUGUUUUGUAACCUCUGAGGAACUAUAUGCUCUGUAGACAACUAUGCCCUGUAAACAAAGUUUAGGACACUCUGUUCCCAUAUGAUUCGUAAGACACUGUCUUCUUAAAAGGCUAAGUUACAAAACUGUCUGCCCUUGUCCUGUUCCAGUAAACUCACUGUGUCACUGCAACUAAAUGUAUAAGAACUGGAACUUUCCUUUGCUCAAUCGUCCAGCAUUCUGGACCCAAGUUUGGCUGGGUCAGGUGUACAACUAAUAAAUCUUCUUCGUUCCCAUUUGGUCUCUCUUGUACUGGAAUUCUGCAUCACAGGUGUGUUCUACCACAUCCAGCUUACUCAGUCUUGUUAAGCACAACUCUAGGCUUUUCUUUCUUUGUUUCAAAAAGCUGUAGGUGGGCCAGGGAUUUAGCUUAGUGGUACCGAGCCUGCCUCGAAAGUGCAAGGUCCUGAGUUCGAUCCCCAAUACAAAAAAAAAAGAAAGAAAGAAAGAAAGAAAGCUGUAGGUGCUGUUUGAGAUGCUGAGGAUAAAACCCAGUAUCACACACAAGCUAGCAAGUGCUUUGCCACUGAGCUACACCUCCAGCCCAAAGUGCUUAUUUGAUUUAACUAGCAAAGAAAGUUAUUCUUUUUUGUAAGGGUAAAAUUUUUUUUAAAAAGUAGCUUUACUAGCUGGGCAUGGUGCUGCACACCUAUAAUCCCAGCACUCUGGAGGCUGAGGUAGGAGGAUCGAGUUCAGUUAGAGGCCAGCCUGGGCAACAUGGUGAGACCUUGUAUCAAAAAAAAAAAAAAGUAGUUUUACUGAGAUAUAAUUUAUACACUAUAAAAUUUACCCAUUUUAAAUAUAUAGGUAGAUACAUUUUGACAAAUAUAUAGAUAGUCCUGUAACUACAAACAAAAUCAAGAUAUGGAAUAUUCCUAAACUGAACAUAGUGGCACACACCUGUAAUCCCAGCACUAGGGAGGCUGAGACAAGAGACUGUCAUGAGUUCGUGGCCAGCCUGAGCUACAUAGAUCCUCUACCCCCACCACCACCAACAAAAAACAGAUAUAGAACAUUCAAUCACCUCAAAAUGUUUCUCCUCCUCCAACCACCAGGCCCAGAAAAUCUGUUUCCUGUCACAGUGGUUUUACCUUUUACAGAAUUUCAUAUAAAUGAAAUUCUUCUUUCCCUUAGCAGCUUUUGUGAUUCCUAAACAUCUCUUCAGGUAUCACAGUCCUUUCCAUGUCACUGAUGAUAGUACUAUAUGGGAUGGAAUUAUUUAUCACAUUUUGUAUUUUUUCAUAUCACAAUAUGUUUAGUCAUUUAUCAUUUGGUGAACACUUUGAUUAUUUCCAGUUUGGUGCCACUGUGAACAUUUGAGUACAAGAUUUAGAAUGGAUGAAUGUUUUUAUUGUUCUUGAAUAAAUACUAAUGAGGUUGCUGGAAUAUAUGGAAAAUGUAUAUGAAAAACAGCUAUUGUUCAGAAAUAGUUACUUCACAUCCUUAACAAAAAUUAGUAUUUGAUUUUAUCUUUGUAGUGUUAGCUUAUCAUAGUUUUAAUUUAUAUUUUUCUAAUGAAUAAUGAUGUUAAAUAUCUUUUCAUGGGCUUAUCAAUUUUUAAGUAUCCUUUGGUGAACUAUUCUUAUCUUUUGCCCAUUUUCAGUUGUACUUCUUUUUUUUUGGUACCAGGGAUCGAACUUGGGACCUUGUGCUUGCCAGGCAGUCGGUGGAAGCACUGAGCUAAAUCCCUGGCCCUUAAUUGUGCUUCUUAUUAUAUUAUUGAAUUGGAAGAGAUGUUUAUAUGUUUAGAUACAAGUCUGUUAUAAGAUAUGAAUUUGUUUUGAGACAAGAUCUCGCUAUGUAGUUGAGGCUGUUCUCAAGCUUGCUAUGUCGCCCUACAUACUGACACCCACCUCCAUACCCAGCUCGGAAAGCCUGAGUGGGGGUUGCAGGUGCAAGCCUAGCCUGAUCAUUAGCAACUUACUGAGAGCUUGUCUCAAAAAAAAUCUUUAAAUAACUAGAAGGGCUGGGCUUGUAGCUCAGUGUAAAGCCCAGCUCUGACUGGGAAACAAAAUCACUAUGUACCCCAGGCUGGCCUCAGACUCACGACCCUCCUGGUUCAGCCUCCCAAAUACUGGGAUAACAGGCAUGUGCCACCAUGACAAGCUAUAAAAUAUAAGUUUUCAAACAUUUCUGUGUGAUUUACCAUUAAUUUUCUUUUUUUUGGUACCGGGGAUUGAACUCAGGUCCUUGUGUUUGGGCAUCAGGCAGUGAAAGCGCUGAGCUAAAUCCCUGGCCCACCAUUAAUUUUCUUAAAGUAUCUUUGCAAAAGCAUGUUUUUAAUUUUGAUAAAUUCCAACUUACUAAUUUUUCUUCUUCUGUGGUUCAUAAUUUGUGUCCUAAGAAAACUUCUCUAGACUCCACAUCACAAUGUCUCUCCUGUGACAAUCAGGGAGUGCUGUUGUAUUAGCCUCAUCUUUACAUCUAUGAUGCAGCUCAAGUUAUUUGUAAACAGUGUAAGGUAAAAGUCAUGGCUCAUUUUUUUAUAUGUACAUAUUUUUAUAUUAGGUUAGGGAAAGUUUUCUUAAAAAUCAGGAAUUACAAGUCUUCAAAUCAUCAAUUUAAGGCCUUCUGAAUUUGUUCUUUUUCAAGAUUAUUUUGGCUAUUUUCAUCCUUUGCGUUUCCAUAUAAGUUUGACAAUUAACCAAAUAUUGUAUGCAUAAAUGCUGCAAGGAUUUCUUUUUUGGUACCGGGGAUCAAACUAGGGACCUUGUGCUUUUGAGGCAGGCACCGGAACCACUGAGCUAAAUCCCCAGCCUGCUUCAAGGAUUUUGAUCAUGAUUGCACUUAAUUUAUAGAUAAUCUGACAUGAGGGAGAAAGAAUUAACAUUUUAAAAGCACUGAGUCUGACAAUGUCUGAACAUGUAUACAUCUCCUAAAUAGGUCUUUUAAAAACUUUUCUCAACUAUACCUUAUAGUUUUAAAAUUAUAAAUAUAUACACAUAGUAUUAUACUGAGUAUAUCCUUAAGUAUUUCAUGUUUAUUAUGAUAUUUUAAGUCAUAUUGAUUUUUUUUUUUUUUUGGUACCGGGGAUCAAAUUCGGAACCUUGAACUUUUGAGGCAGGCGGUGGAACUACUGAGCUAAAUCCCCA
ensembl:lncRNA